AACGCUGGCGGUAUGCUUAACACAUGCAAGUCGAACGGUAACAGAGGUAGUUUACUAUUUGCUGACGAGUGGCGGACGGGUGAGUAAUGCAUGGGAAUUUGCCUAUUAGUGGGGGGCAACGUGUGGAAACGCACGCUAAUACCGCAUACGCUCUUCGGAGGAAAGCAGGGGAUCUUCGGACCUUGUGCUAAUAGAUAAGCCCAUGUCGGAUUAGCUAGUUGGUAGGGUAAAGGCUUACCAAGGCGACGAUCCGUAGCUGGUUUGAGAGGAUGAUCAGCCACACUGGGACUGAGACACGGCCCAGACUCCUACGGGAGGCAGCAGUGGGGAAUAUUGGACAAUGGGGGCAACCCUGAUCCAGCAAUACCGCGUGUGUGAAGAAGGCCUUCGGGUUGUAAAGCACUUUCAAUGGUGAGGAAACGAAUAAGGUUAAUAUCCUUAUUAAUUGACGUUAACCAUAGAAGAAGCACCGGCUAACU
rnacentral:rRNA from 1 species